rnacentral:rRNA from 1 species
GUGGGGAAUAUUGGACAAUGGGCGAAAGCCUGAUCCAGCCAUGCCGCGUGUGUGAAGAAGGUCUUCGGAUUGUAAAGCACUUUAAGUUGGGAGGAAGGGCAGUAAGUUAAUACCUUGCUGUUUUGACGUUACCGACAGAAUAAGCACCGGCUAACUCUGUGCCAGCAGCCGCGGUAAUACAGAGGGUGCAAGCGUUAAUCGGAAUUACUGGGCGUAAAGCGCGCGUAGGUGGUUCGUUAAGUUGGAUGUGAAAGCCCCGGGCUCAACCUGGGAACUGCAUCCAAAACUGGCGAGCUAGAGUAUGGUAGAGGGUGGUGGAAUUUCCUGUGUAGCGGUGAAAUGCGUAGAUAUAGGAAGGAACACCAGUGGCGAAGGCGACCACCUGGACUGAUACUGACACUGAGGUGCGAAAGCGUGGGGAGCAAACAGGAUUAGAUACCCGUGUAGUCC